UACAGAGGGUGCAAGCGUUAAUCGGAAUUAUUGGGCGUAAAGCGCACGUAGGCGGCGCAGUAAGUCCCAUGUGAAAGCCCACGGCUUAACCGUGGAAGUGCAUGGGAAACUACUGUGCUUGAGUACUUAAGAGGAUCGCGGAAUUCCCGGUGUAGAGGUGAAAUUCGUAGAUAUCGGGAAGAACACCCGUGGCGAAGGCGGCUCUCUGGGACGGUACUGACGCUGAGACGCGAAAGCGUGGGGAGCGAACAGG
rnacentral:rRNA from 1 species